UCUGAGCCGAGCAGAGGCAGGGUGGGGGUCCGGCAGGGGGGGCUCCCGCUGAGCGACGCUGAUUGGACCUCCGCUCAGAAGGCGGGAAACCUGCAGGUUUUGGCGGCCGUCAGGAACCCCCUUAAGGCCGGGGACACCCCCCCUCGUGUCUGGGAGGCGGAGACGGGACCCCCCUGACGUCAGAGGGCCUGUCUGAAAGUGAGGUAGAAGGUGAAGCAGAACCAGAGCUGACCCCCCCUCCCCCCACUCCGUCACUGAAAGCCGUGCUGGACCGGACCGAACCGGACCUGCGCCUAUGCACCCGGACUGAGGCUCAGGAGUCUGCUCCCCGCGAGGUUAGACGAUAAACCCCAAGAUGCAUCUGUGAUUGGAGGCUAAAAGAUGCCACGCACCAAGCAGAACCACCCCAAGAACCUGAAAGGGAACCGCUAUCUCCAAUAUUAUGGGUUGAUGCUGGAAGAACGAGGUCAGAGACGAAGGCUCAACAUCCCUCCUCAUCCUCCUCUCUGCUCCAAACGUUAUUCAUCCAAAGAAACAAACCAGCGUGGCGUCAUGCUGAGGAGGUGAUCUUGCACCAUCAGAUUUGAACGAGCAUCACCGGAGGGCAGAUUCCCACUAAUCACAGCCAAAGCGAACUGGAUGCGACUUGUUGUCCUGGGUUCUGGUGAAAUCCCAGUCGUUUUCUCAGGCUUCUCUUGGACUUCUGCUGACCCGGUUCCUCGCCCGUCCUUUGGAGGCAUUUCCUCUUGCAGGCAGGAAGCUCAAUGUAAGCGGCAUGCUGUCACAUGUUCGCUCUGGAGAAAGGCUUCUUCCUGACGACCCAGGGAACCGCCUGCAGCGGUCAGCUGAUGCGUUAAACCAGCUUUCAAAGGUUCUGCUCUGGUUUAUUAAAUAAAUCUGGACGUUUGUUAAA